CUCGAAACCGCUCCACAGACGCCACUAGGGAGGAGUGCGGAGCGCGGAAUUGAAACAGACGUACAGCAGAUAACGUUACGGAAAAACAGCCUUCAGUCAACGGAUCGAAAAUGGAAGGGCGCCCUCCAACCCCGGAAGAUGAGGAGUUUGACCUGGAGGAGGAAAGACGACGCAGACAGGCGUUACAGCGCUGCCUUGAGGUGACCCUGAGGAUGAUUCGGCUGCUGUUGGACAUUGCUAGCUACCGACUUCGACUAGUUAGGCCAGAGAACGAUGGCAACGAUAAUCCCCGAAGUCAUGGAAGAAAUGCUCGAAGCUUGUAUUUUUCUGGAGUUUUUCGUUCUUUUUCUUUCUUUUUUCUUUUUUUGUCGGGAAAGAAUCCUUGUGUCAAUAAAUGAAUACUGUAUCCGUU